rnacentral:lncRNA from 1 species
CAAUAAGUAUUACUAUUUUUAUUAAUGAGAAUUUAUACUUUUAGUUAUUUAAUCAACUAUUAUUGUAAGAAAAAGUAACCAUUGAUAUGAAGCCCAACUCGGUGGCAAAGCUGGCUCUCGGCAGGGCUAUCCUCGGCAGCGCUGCCCUCUGGCAGGGCUCCCGGCAAGGCUGUCCUCGGCAGCACUGCUCUCUGGCAGAGCUGGUAGCGCUGCAUUCUGGCAGAGCUGUCUCUGGUAGCGCUGCACUCUGGCAGGGCUCUCGACAGAGCUGUCUCUGGUUGAACUCUGGCUCUGGCAGG